rnacentral:lncRNA from 1 species
CACAAGGCUGGUGCUGUUCUGUAGAAAGAUCUGCUCAUGCAGAACCGGCUGCAGCAUCUGGAGACCAACUUCCAGGCUUAGGUCAGAAGGUAACUUGGUUGAGACUACAUACAGGCUUUUACUGUCUCAUGCUUUCACUGUGAGAAGCAGAGUAUGGAUCUCCUUCUGUGUAAUGGCUCUUGCUGUUUGUCAGACAUUAAGAGACUCUUCCCUGUUCUGUCAAACUUUGGGCAUGUACAGAUCUGGCAUCAGAGAAGACAAAUUCACAAAGGGAAUUCAGGAGGAAUGCAUUGCUGGGAAACAAGCACCAGCCACCAGCAAGGGAAAUGAAUUCAGAUUGUCAGAGGAUUGUUUCCAUGAAAAUUCCUGAAGUUUUCUGCUGACAAGUGGUGUUAGCAGCUUCUUGGAGGUCAGGUCCUUGCAGGAGAUGGCUUGCAAUCUGCAUGUGAUUAAAUAUGAAUAAUCCUUUCCCUGUUCAGCAAGGUAAGCACUGCUGAGAAUCCCAUUGAGUCUGAUGUGAAUUAAGCAUGUGGUGUGGUAUUUUCUUGGACAGGAUGAGGCCGUGCACAGGCCUUGGUGACUGGGCAAUCUGUAAGAGCCAGUGUUUGUUGUGAAGGUAAUCAUAGCCUCAGCACAGGCUGUACGUGUCUGCAGGCAGAUGUGGAAGCCAUAAUGAUUUGAUGGACAGGUAUGAGGAGUUGCAGAGGUUAAUCAGAAAUCCAAAUGCAUUUGUUUGUUUGCUGUGUUUGAAAGAAUUUAUCAUAUCUUUACCAUUCUAAUAAUGCUAACCUGAACAUGAGUAUCUGCUCUGCAAUUGUGACCAGGACUAUGACUGUUUCUUCCUUCCCUUCACAUGUUAAUUCCUCCCCCUCCUUUACUGUGCUGUGUUAAAGGA